AUAUUUUGUCUGUAGCUACAAAAGUAAAUGAAACUAUUUUAAGUACACAUGAAGAACGUCUCAGAGAUCACAGAUCCAAUAACUUGGGUUUACAGCAGUUGGAUUCAUUGAACCUGCCUCACAUUGUUUCCCAAACUAGUCUUGAGCCCCUGUGUUUAAGUUAUCUCACUGCCUCAGCUUCUCCAGAGUUUCUAAGAAUAAAGCUUCACACUGCUGUGCCUGGCAGAGUCAAUUAAUUUUAAUAUAAAAGUAUGGAAAUGCAUGAUAUGAUUCUGGUAGAGUUUUAUUUAUUAUGAGAACUCCCUUCCUGGCUGGAAUGCAAUUACCUACUUCUAAUUUUGCCUUUAAGUAGUGGAGGCAGAGAAAAACUCGAUAUUAGCCUCAUGAGAACAAGGCUCCACCCUUCUGGCCUCAGUUUACCCUAACUAAUUCCUGAUUACCUUCUUACCAAUGCAAUUUCACUGGAGUCAGAGAUCCAUGGAUUUGGGAAAGACACACUUCAAUCUAUGCAACUCAUUUCUCUCUCCUUAUGAGAAAAACCUGAAAACUCAUUAAAAAAUGUAUUUUAAAGUUUAUCUGGGAGUACAUUUAGCUCUGUGUGUACAUGUGUUUCAUAUCGAUGAGACAUGCCAAUAAUGAAUUGAAAAUAUCUGAAAUAAGAGAGUCUAAACAUUUGCAGAUUCUUUUUCUUGUUUAUGCCUUAAGCAAUACUGCAUUUGCAAACAGGUUCGUUGAUUAGGUAUCAAUAUCAACAGAAAUGAAUGAAAGCCUACAGGAUGAAGUACGUAAGAUAUAUGCAAAUUCUACAUCAUAAACAACUUUAGGUUGUGGUAUUUGUAGGGGUUCAAAUAAACACCAGAUAAACAGAGAGUCAAUCUUAUAUUAUAUUUUUUAUAUUGUAUUAUUUAUGAGAAGAAAAAUCAGCUCUGUGCAGUUUAUUUUAGUUCAUAUGAAAUAUGACACUUUAAGUUCAAAAUUGACAAAGAUUUUCACUAGGGCUUGGUGGGAUGAGGCAUGUGGAUCCUAAACAAAAUGUCCCUGAUGUGCAGCUGUGUGUCCUGUCCAGUGUCCCUGUACAGCUCACAAUUUUGUUGCUUUCACAAAUACAUGAAGGAAACAAUUUAAAUGGAGAAAGAUUUAUUUGGUGCACAGCUGCCUGGAUCAUUGUCCUUAGGCCUGCGGUGAAAGAGAAUAUCUCUCCUCAUGGCAGCAGGAAGAAGAUAUGAGCUAAUGGGCUCCUCCUCCCCCUCUUUUGGUCCAUCUGAGCCCGAGGUGUUGAAUGGCACUGACCACAGUCAGAGUACAUCUGAAUUUACCAUUCAUACUGAGAGCCCUCCCAAAAACACCCAGUGUGCUUACCAAUUUCCCAAGUAUUUCUCAAUACAAUCAAGUUGACAGGCAAAUGGCCACUGUAUUCUUCCCUUCUUAGUUUCAUGUUCCUAUACAAGCAUACAUUUCACUAGCAUCGUAUACAGCCAUGGCCUACUUAUCACUCUAGGGUUCAUGUAUAAGUCUCUGUUUCAGGUGUUGACAUAGAUUUCCUGAGAUGCUUUGUGGUUUCAAAUUGCUACUGUACACAUUGUAGUAAGGUAGGAAAAGACAAUGCUAUGGGAAAAGACAAUACUGUAGAGUUUUGCAAGGCCUACAGGAUCAUUCUGUGAGCACAGAUGGAAAUCCAAAUGGGAACCUUUGCAGUGUUAGAAUUACUGGCUUUCAUUUAUACAAAUCUUCUCAUUUUACAAGCUUACUGUGGCUCAGAAAUGCCACCCCAUCAAUCCUCAUGGCUGCUCACGGGGACACUGAUGGGCUAUUAAAAUGAGCUCAGGGAACCCUGCAGAAGAGGAGGCAAUGUAUGUAAGAGCCAGAGGGGAUGAAGGACACCAGGACAGCAAAACCAACUAAAUCAACAGAGCAAGGCUCAUAUGAACUCACAGAGACUGAAGCAGCAGGCUUCAGAUUUGAAAGAUGUUGGAAAGUGGCAGAGGCAUGAAAGUAGAAAAGGCCAUUUCUGGAAAGAGAAA